AACGAACGCUGGCGGCAGGCUUAACACAUGCAAGUCGAACGCCCCGCAAGGGGAGUGGCAGACGGGUGAGUAACGCGUGGGAACAUACCCUUUCCUGCGGAAUAGCUCUGGGAAACUGGAAUUAAUACCGCAUACGCCCUACAGGGGAAAGAUUUAUCGGGGAGGGAUUGGCCCGCGUUGGAUUAGCUAGUUGGUGGGGUAAAGGCCUACCAAGGCGACGAUCCAUAGCUGGUCUGAGAGGAUGAUCAGCCACAUUGGGACUGAGACACGGCCCAAACUCCUACGGGAGGCAGCAGUGGGGAAUAUUGGACAAUGGGCGCAAGCCUGAUCCAGCCAUGCCGCGUGAGUGAUGAAGGCCUUAGGGUUGUAAAGCUCUUUCACCGAUGAAGAUAAUGACGGUAGUCGGAGAAGAAGCCCCGGCUAGCUUCGUGCCAGCCGCCGCGGUAACAC
rnacentral:rRNA from 1 species